CGAGGAUGUUCUAGAGAGCUGUGGGGAAGAGUUUUCUGAAGGACAGUAGUCUGGUUUGGGGUCUUUUGGUGGGAGCUACAGAGUGGGACACAAGGGAAGAUCCUGUAGAAUGCCGUUGGAAGGAAAGUCCCUAUUGCAAGAAGUGCUUUGUGCAAAUGAAUGGCUCCAAGGAAGAAGGUCCUAUACUCCUGAGGGUGCCAGUUCAUUCGCGAUAGUCUUCGAGGGGAGUUCUGAAUGUGACAAGUGCUUUCACGAUGACCGUGGGUCCAGCACGCUUGAAACCAAAUAUUUACUUUCCCAAGGAUUCGCUGUGUCUUCAGUAGACCUAUUGGAUAUCCUUUCCAAAGGAACACAACCUAGAUGGGCAUGCUAUUGAUUACAGAAGUUAUAUUACAGCUAUCCCUAGUAUCAAGCUGAGCGGCUGGAUGGAAACUGCAUUGAAGCUCUCAACUCAAUAUGCUAAGGCUGUGCCACCAGACUUGAAGUAGAGUGGAAGGUGUCAGUGUAAUGAAAAGUUGUGACGAAGAAAAGCAGACCAUUUCACAAGAAAGGACAUGUAACUGAAGAAUUUUUAUUAAUACCUCAGGAGCAGAAAAAUACUUAUUUUAUUAACUGUUUUUGAAUAAAGCAUUCUUUGAUAAAGUCUUUCAAUUCUCAUUCUAUAGGAUGACAACACAGCAGCAACACUAAAUGACAAUGUCAGAGGUUAGAACAAUAUGAUUCAGAAACCCAUUGCAAGGAUGAUAGCUUCAUCAUUUUCUAAAGUGCCCUUGACUGUAGGCAAAUUAUAAGUUAGUUAAUUAUAUAGAGAAGUUGAGUUUGUGCUCAGUUCAUUAAAAUUUUACAUUUAACUUGAGGGCGACAAUUUAAACCAUGGAAAGGCAGAUGUGAUUAGACAACAGUGAGAACAAUUUUUUCUUCAUGCAAAGAAUGAGCAAUGUAUAAAAAGUAAAUCAAUUGGUGACUAUGAGUGAACUUCUUAUCAAUGAGAUAAGACAUUCCUGAUUUUUGAUUUAUCUUUUUACCUUAUGUGAUAGCUUUAAAGUAUGUCAGUCCCAAUUUCAAUAUAUCUGUAUGCUUAAUUUAAGAGAUGCUCAAGAGGAUAAUGUAUCUUUGAAAAUUGUUAUUGCAGAGCACUUAUAUGUAGUCAAUAAUGCUUGCUGUGUAAUUAACUCAAAUAUUCUGAUAUCGACGCUGUAUGGCAAACAUAUGGAUGUGCUCUGUGAUUAGUUGUUCGAACUUAACAGAAUAUGUCUAGUCCACUGGUUUACUGGAUGGCUGUUCUUCGUGAAGGAGGAUUUUAUUGAAAAAGUACUCCCGAAACCAAGCUUUAUAUAAACAAAGUUUAUGACAUUUCUAGGAGUAAAAUAAUAAGAAAAUAGAUAUAACAGGUAUUAGCAAACUUGGCACAAGAAUUUAUAAAGAAAACAGUUUACAACCUUUGGUUCAGAUUUUCGCCUAUCAUCAGUGCACUUAAGCAAUAUUUGAAGGUGGAGAUUGGUUUAGUAAUAUUAAUGGAGUUAAUCCUACCUUACCCAACAUUAAAAAAGUAUUGCUGUGCUAAACACAGAAAGCAAAACAAAAACAUUUCUACUGUGUAUCUAAAUAAAAUAUCAGGCAGCAUCCUAAAAAAGAAAAACAAAAAAAAUUCUGGUUAAAAGUCUUAUUUUUGUUUUCAUAAAUAAUAUUGAGAGAAAACAAGUUAGUUUUUAAUUUGCAGGAUGGUGGCACAGACUGAUGGGACAAAGGGAGUGCCUUUGAUAGUCUGAAGCAUGGUUGGCCUUGAGGAUAUAUUAUAGAGGUAAUUUUCUAAGAAGGUUAUUAGGGGUGAUUGGAGGGAGAGAAGUUGAACAAAAAUGUUGUGUUGAGGGCAAUUACAAAGUGAGUGAGAACACAAACAAAGGAGCAUAAAGGAUGUGAAAAUAGAACUGUAGGACAUGCCCAGCUGGCCACACUGUGCAAUUGAUCAAAGAAAAACUAAGUCAAUGUGACUUACACCAGAAAUGGCUAAUUUUCGACGGACAAAAGAAGCAGUAUUGAAUUCUCCAACUUCUGCUACCUGAGUCUGGAAGAUUGUACAAAAUGCAAAAAGGUUUAACAUGAGAGCUAGGAGAUUCAGAGGGAAUCUAUGCAAGAUGUUGUGACUGUGAUCUAAAUCACUGGAGAGACACUGAAGCUGGUGAUAUAGUAGUCUUUAUUCAGCACAACGAUCAGGCAUCAUUCUGGAGACAUUCUCGGUAGAGGGUCACAAACCCAAAGGUACAUUACAUUUUUAUACCUUUAAGAUCAAAAGUAAUAGUAGGUGAUUCAAUACAAUUUUAGUAGUUACAAUGGCAUUGUUUACUUCAAUACUUUGGCUUAAAAAAUGGUUCCUUUCAGAUACAUAGUGGAAGCACAUUGUAAUUGAUUCAACACCUUUGAUAGUCCAAACGCCUUUGGGAAAAACUGAUUAACACAAAUAUUCUAAAAUUUUUUGAUGACAGAGAGCUAGACACCCAAAGUUAAUGUUGUCAAAGCUGUCUCAGAGUCCGCAAAUAUGGUAAGUACACAGAAACUAUUGAUGACCUAUAUCUGUGACCAUGUUUGAUAUGGUAAGUGACAAUAUCCAUCUGGUCUGCUAGCUUGCACUCAAAUCACAAUGGUGGAAAUAACUUAGCCCAUGUUGCCUGGUUGGAUGCAAUCCAAUUAAUACAACCCCAUUGUUUUAACAUUUGGUAUGUGCAAUCUCUCAGUCUGUGGAGCAACCUGUGCUUUUAAUUUGAAUUUACUGCUUGCAAUUUACGAAAAAAAACUGAAGGCUGAUGGCAAACUUCCUGAACUUAUUUACAUUUACAGAACUGAUGCUUGGUUCUUGUUUGAGUUAAUAUCUGCUAUAUUUA